UACGGAGGGUGCGAGCGUUAAUCGGAAUUACUGGGCGUAAAGCGCACGCAGGCGGUUUGUUAAGCUAGAUGUGAAAGCCCCGAGCUCAACUUGGGACGGUCAUUUAGAACUGGCAGACUAGAGUCUUGGAGAGGGGAGUGGAAUUCCAGGUGUAGCGGUGAAAUGCGUAGAUAUCUGGAGGAACAUCAGUGGCGAAGGCGACUCCCUGGCCAAAGACUGACGCUCAUGUGCGAAAGUGUGGGUAGCGAAC
rnacentral:rRNA from 1 species